rnacentral:rRNA from 1 species
GUCCACGCCGUAAACGAUGUGUGCUAGACGUUGGGGGCCCUAGGUCCUCGGUGUCGCAGCUAACGCGUUAAGCACACCGCCUGGGGAGUACGGCCGCAAGGUUAAAACUCAAAGGAAUUGACGGGGGCCCGCACAAGCGGUGGAGCAUGUGGUUUAAUUCGACGCAACGCGAAGAACCUUACCAGCCCUUGACAUGGGGAGUAUGGGCGGCAGAGAUGUCGUCCUUCAGUUCGGCUGGCUCCCGCACAGGUGCUGCAUGGCUGUCGU